UGCACUUAAUAAAUUAAGUCACUUUCUAGGUCAGUAUGAAAACAUUAUUAAUGUUUAUCUAGUCACAGAAACCACUAAUAUGAAAUUACAUUCCUUCCAGUCUUCACCUUUCAAUGUUCACAAGCUGGGAUUAAUUUCAAAGGGAACAAGUUUCUGGCUGAGGUAUAGGGAGUGUAAAUUAGUUCAACCAUUGUGGAAGACAGUGUGGCAAUUCCUCAAGGAUCUAGAACCAGGAAUACCAUUUGACCUAGCAAUCCCAUUACUGGGUAUAUACCCACAAAGGAUUAUAAAUCAUUCUACUAUAAAGACACACACACACAUAUGCUUACUGCAGCACUAUUUACAAUAGCAAAGACUUGGAACCAACCCAAAUGCCCAUCAAUGAUAGACUGGAUAAAGAAAACGUGGCACAUAUACAUCAUGGAAUACUAUGCAGCCAUAAAAAAGAAUGAGUUCAUGUCCUUUUCAGGGACAUAGAUGAAGCUGGAAACCAUCAUUCUUAGCAAACUAACACAGGAACAGAAAACCAAACACUGCAUGUUCUCACUCAUAAGUGGGAGUUGGACAAUGAGAACACAUGGACACAGAGAGGGGACCAUCACACACUGGGGCCUGUUGGGGGGUGGGGGCAAGGGGAGGGAGGGCAUUAGGACAAAUACCUAAUGCAUAUGGGGCUUAAAACCUAGAUGAUGGGUUAAGUGCAGCAAACAACCAUGGCACAUGUAUACCUAUGUAACAAACCUGCACAUUCUGCACAUGUAUCCCAAAACUUAAAGUAAAAACAAACAAAACAACAACAACAAAAAAAAACCUUUGCUAAGGAACAAAAUAAAUAAAUGGACAGACGUGCCUAUUCCUAGCUAGGAUCUGGUGAGGUAAAUUUCUCUCCAAAUUAUUCAGUAUAGUAUGUAAUUCUGCAAUGACAGAACAGACAAUGGCUAGUUUGUGCUAAACAUGAUGAGAGUAAAGGGAUGAUAAGAAGUAUUAACUUAAAAAUCACUAUGUAUAACAAUGUAUAAAUUUAGAAAAAGAGAGAUUUAUUUCCUUUUUUUCUUUUUUGGUUCCUCAUCAUUCAGUUGGAUGAGCUUAUGAGCUUUAUUUCUUAAGAAGGAGAUUACAACCUCCAGGCAGGAAGCACAACCACCAUCUAAAAAAAGCACUUUGAGGCAGAGGCGGAUGGAACAGGGAUUCCUUUUGAAUGGGUUGGCCAAGUAUACAUAUUCAACAGGUUACAGGAGGAGCUAUUAAUAUUCAUGAAGGUGGUCCUCAUGCAUAUUACACACCACCCAUGUUCACUUAGGGGUGGAAGAUUAACAUUUAAAUGUAUUACAGCUAGGCCAAAAGGUGAAGCAGGGACACGAAGGCAUUCCAGUGUGCAGUCUCUGUAAAACCCACCAGAACCAGUUCAUAAUAAGUGAUCUCUCAUCAGAAGAAAGUUACAGAAAUCAGUCUGUUGUCCAAUCAAGGCUCGUGGAACAGGGUGUCAGUUAGUGAGCAUCUGGUGGUGAGUUGCAAUUGUUUUAAUAUUGUUUAUUUCAAGGCCAGUGCUUGUUUAGCUUCUAGAGAAAAAGAAAAACCUUGUAGCACUUUGCACGUAGUUUAUUCUUUAACUGUAGGGUGUAUGAUUUAAUCUUUCUCUGGCAUGGCCUUAGGUCCUAUUUAUAAUCUGGUAUCUUAUUUCCACAAAAAGUCCAUUCUGUCAGUCAUAUGAUAUCUAUUUUGACAUUACUGCUGGUCAGUUGUGUCUAAACCACAAAAGGAGGCGGGUGUAACAAGGGGUGUCGGGCCUCCCAUCCUGUCAUGGCUGGGAACUAAAUUUGUAAGGUUUCUCCGGAGUCCCCUUGGCCAAGGGGGCAGGGUCCAUCCAGUCAGUUUGAGGGACUUAGGAUUUUAUUUUUAGUUUAUAGAAGCAAGAGGAUUUCUGAAGAAUGUAAUUAUUUAACUGCAAAGCUGGGGAGAAGUAGCAAGAAAGCAUUCUCUGAAAAGACGUGUCAAAAAAAAGGCCACUUUUUUCUAGAACUGUUGCUAAUCAUUGUGAGCUGUGUUGUUUGAGUGAGAGAAGGCAUACCGAUCACAGAAAGACUAUAUUUGUCCCUUCCACUCUCCUCCCUACAGUUGACUGAAUGUUAGUAACAAAGUGACUCUGGAAGAUCUGUUCCCACCAUUCUGCAUUUCUCCUGCAAUCUUGUGGUGGAUCUUGGAGAGUCACUCUUACUUAACACAGAGGCAAUGGGGUUGGUAACAGGUGAAACAAGCAAAUAAAUUUUUUUUUGAAAAAGUAUAACAUGAGAGGACUUACCUACUAGGUAUGAAAACACACUAUAAAGCUUUAUUACUAUUAUUGUUUUUAAUGACAUUUAUUGAAGGCUUACUGUGUGCUGGACACUGUGCUAUGUUUUACAUACCUGAUGUCAUUUAAUUAUCUUCCAAACCUUAUGAAGUAGAUAGCAUUUUUAAGACCUAAUACUUAGAGGAAGAAACUGAGGCCUAGAAAAGAUACAUUUGCAAAAAAUUAAAUAGCCAGUAAACAAUGAAAAUAUAAUUCUAAUCUAGACAUUAUAACUCUAAAGCCAUUUUUAUCAUUACUAUCAAUAUAGUUUUGACUACAUAAAAGAGGAACAGUAGAACAGAGAAGAGUUUAAAAACAAAAUAGCCAUAUCUAUGGGAUUUCACCAUAUGAUAAAAUUGACAUUUACAUCAAUUUAAUAAUUAUUGCUAGACAAUUGGCUAUUCACUGAAAAGUAACUAUUAUCUCUCAUACCAGAAAAAGUUAUAAUUCAGAAAUUUAAAAAAAAUUAAUAUAAAAAGGUAGAAAUAGUACUAAAAAAAUAUAGAACAUACAGCAUCUGGUGGCCAUAAAAAAUAAGCUCAGGCACUGCUGCUGAGAAUGUAAAAUGAUACAACCACUUUGGAAAACAGUUUCUAAGUUUCUUUGGUUCCUAACACCAUACAAACACUUGUAUAUAAAAGUUCUUCGCAGCUUUACUUGUAAUAGCUAAAAGCUAAAUAAAGAAGUCCUGGGAGUUCACCCGGUGUUUUCUACAGAACCAAGGUAUUCAUAUUGAGAUCCUUCAAUAUAAUCAGCUAUGUGACCUUGGUUAAGUUAAUUAAUGCCUCUGAAACUGAGGUUCCUCAUCUGUGAAAUGGAGAUAUUCAACAAAGCACCCUGUGGGGAUUAGAUGAGAUUGCACAUCUGACUGCCUAGAGUAUAGUAAGGGGUCACUGUUUCCUCUUCACUCCUCAGGAAAAUUUGAUUGAACAAGGAUAGAAACUUUGAUUCUAGGGACAGAAGGUCUUCAGAAGUCUUUGAGGCCAGAGGGCCUGUCAUAGAACUGCAGUGUAGGUUCAUUAAAACGCUGUCAUCCUAAUGUUUAUCCACAGUAUCUAAUAGAUUUAAAAGGAAGACAAUAUGGCA
rnacentral:lncRNA from 10 species